rnacentral:piRNA from 1 species
UGCCUACACUAACACUCAGCAACAUUUGCAA